AACAGUUAGGUAGAUGUGAGUAGCUGAUUUCAGGGAUGCUAUGGAAUGAUCAGGGUUUGGGACAAAUUGAAUAUUCAUAGAUUGGUCUAGGUUUCACUGAAUGGAGGUUGUCAGACCAAUCCUGUUACAGGCUUCAUUUAGAGUACAUGUCUGGUUGUGGGGAGAAAGGAGAAGGGGGAUCUAACAGGAUGUCAAGACAAGUAUUUUCAGGAUCAUAGAAAAUGUGCCUUAUUUAAAAAACCAUCAACAUGUAUAAGGAAAAUAUACCUACAUUGAAUGAAGAAAUAUUGAUUUUGGAACUGACAGCUAGGAAAGCAUUGCAUUUCAUGAAUUUCUGAAGAGAAUUGUCUGUUUACAUGAAACAAACAAAAACAUGUCACACCUAUCGAGUCACUCGCUGAGAUGAUCCAUUGAUUCCAGAGUGAAAAAUUAUUGUCCUUGUUCUGUGAAUUAACAAAAUAAACAAAUAGUAAGUCAAGCAAGUUAUAUAAACCUCAAAGUAUUACAGCAGGCAUUGUGGAUUCAAUAGGAAACAAGACAGGCCCAGUUCCUGCCAUGAGAGUAUAAUAAUUUAUUGGGAAGAGGUAUAACUAACAAAAAAGAGUGACUGUGAUCAAUUGAUCUCUGAUUAACAGAACAAGUAUGCUUCCACUCAGCCAUUUCUUUUGGACAAACUUUCUUCAUUCACCUUUUUUUUUCCCAAGAACUUCACAAAGAUCAGAAGUCAGAGCUUGGCUGCACUUAUAUCACUGGGUGCCUGCGUGAUAAUCAAUAUCAUAAUAAGUGUUGUGCAACAACAAUAUGCAAUGUUUUUUUUUCUGAGAAUUGAGACUAAAACAAAGGUUUCAGCAGACCGCAUUCCUUUCUGAAGGCCCUGGAAGAGAAUAUUUCCUGCUCAUUCAAGAUGUUGACGGAACAGUUCCUUGUGGUUGUUCAAAUAUCCUGUUGAACAGCAACUAAACAACACACUUUACCCAUACGCUAGUCUAAGGAAAUCACAGUGUAUUUUUCUGGUUUUUGGCAAGUUAGCCCAUAUAAAAAUAAAUGACAUAGUAAUUAA